rnacentral:rRNA from 1 species
ACGAACGCUGGCGGCGUGCCUAAUACAUGCAAGUCGAACGGUCUUUCUAUGGAAGCUUGCUUCCACUGAGAAGAUAGUGGCGAACGGGUGAGUAACACGUGGGUAACCUGCCCAUAAGAGGGGGAUAACAUCCGGAAACGGGUGCUAAUACCGCAUAGUUUUCUUGAUCGCAUGAUUGAGAAAGGAAAGACGGCCUUUGUGCUGUCGCUUAUGGAUGGACCCGCGGCGUAUUAGUUAGUUGGUGAGGUAACGGCUCACCAAGACGAUGAUACGUAGCCGACCUGAGAGGGUGAUCGGCCACAUUGGGACUGAGACACGGCCCAAACUCCUACGGGAGGCAGCAGUAGGGAAUCUUCCGCAAUGGACGAAAGUCUGACGGAGCAACGCCGCGUGAGUGAAGAAAGGUUUUCGGAUCGUAAAACUCUGUUGUCAGAGAAGAACAAGUUGGAGAGUAACUGCUCCAGCCUUGACGGUAUCUGACCAGGGAGCCACGGCUAACUACGUGCCAGCAGCGGC